GGGUCUUUCAGGCUCCGAGUUGUAUUUUGUGGAAGAUGUUUCGAGCGUGGUCCUAGUUUAAGUUCCUUGGAACAGGACGUCACAGAGGGUGAGAAUCCCGUACGUGAUUAGGCGCCUAUGCUCAUGUGAAGCUCUUUCGACGAGUCGAGUUGUUUGGGAAUGCAGCUCAAAAUGGGUGGUAUAUUUCAUCUAAAGCUAAAUAUUGGCCAGAGACCGAUAGCGCACAAGUAGAGUGAUCGAAAGAUGAAAAGCACUUUGGAAAGAGAGUUAAACAGUACGUGAAAUUGUUGAAAGGGAAGCGCUUGCAACCAGACUUGCGCGUUGUCGAUCAUCUGAUGUUCUCAUCAGUGCACACGACCUCGCUCAGGCCAGCAUCAGUUCUGGUGGUUGGAUAAAGGCCUUGGGAAUGUAGCUUCUCUCGGGGAGGUGUUAUAGCCCUCGGUGCAAUGCAGCCUACCGGGACUGAGGACCGCGCUUCG
rnacentral:rRNA from 1 species